rnacentral:rRNA from 1 species
GACUCAACACGGGAAACUCACCAGGUCCAGACAUAACUAGGAUUGACAGAUUGAUAGCUCUUUCUUGAUUUUAUGGGUGGUGGUGCAUGGCCGUUCUUAGUUGGUGGAGUGAUUUGUCUGGUUAAUUCCGAUAACGAACGAGACCUUAACCUGCUAAAUAGCCAGACCGUCUUUUGAUGGUUGCAGGCUUCUUAGAGGGACUGUCAGGAUCUACCUGACGGAAGUUUGAGGCAAUAACAGGUCUGUGAUGCCCUUGACCGAUGAUACGAUCACUACUGUUGUAUUACAUCUAGGGGCAAAAAGUAAGCUCAAAGUGCUUGCUAGUGGUGACAGUGGUACACUGUUAUUGCGACACGUUCAAAUUGCGGGAAACUCCUAAAGCUCUGUGCUACCGUCUUCUGAGGUGAAAGCCUCUCUAGACACCAGGUUAACUGCCUUGGGUAUGGUAAGAAGGCCAGAGAUGUUACAAUGGAUCAUCCGCAGCGAAGUCCUCUGACCAAUCUGUUGGUCGUGGAGCGCGUUCAGAGACUAGAUGUUCGUGGGCCGCUUAGGCGGCUUAAGGUAUAGUCCUUCCAAGCCUGAAAGGGUGUGGGUUUAAAGUAGAUGUUCUGGGCCGCACGCGCGCUACACUGACAAAGCCAGCGAGUUUAUCACCUUGGCCCGGAAGGUCCGGGUAAUCUUGUGAAACUUUGUCGUGCUGGGGAUAGAGCAUUGCAAUUAUUGCUCUUCAACGAGGAAUGCCUAGUAAGCGCAAGUCAUCAGCUUGCGUUGAUUACGUCCCUGCCCUUUGUACACACCGCCCGUCGCUACUACCGAUUGAAUGGCUUAGUGAGGUCUUUGGAUUGGCUUUAGGGACCCGGCAACGGGACUCUGUUGCUGAGAAGUUGAUCAAACUUGGUCAUUUAGAGGAAGUAAAAGUCGUAACAAGGUUUCCGUAGCUUAAGUCUACGAAGAACAGCAAUGUUCCUUCCGCAGAGUACACUUGCAGAAGCCUUAGUGGCCCGAAAGGGUUUUACCAGCGACUCUAAACAAGUAGGUGGAUUAAAUGCUAGUCUCUUUGGAAGAGGCAACACUAUCAAAUUGCGGGAAGAUCCUGUCAGGUCCACAUCACCGCGGCUCAUUGAAAGGUGUAGCGCAGCACCAGGCUAACAACCUUGGGUAUGGUAAUAGUAUGUGGAAUAGGGAGAAUCUGCAGCCAAGCCCCUCUCUUGGGGUGCAGUUCACAGGCCAAAUGGUAGUGGGCACUAAGGUGCUUAAGAUAUGGUCGAGUCCCAAUUGAAAAGUUGGGUACAAGUACUCUGAUUGAUUACAUGCAGUCUAUGCUCAAUCAAAUACAACUAGUUGUAAAUGCAAAUGUUCCGUAGGUGAACCUGC